AUGAACAAGGAGAGGCUCAUGAAGAUGGCCGGCACCGUCUGCAUUGGCGGCAAGCGCAACGCCGCCUGCUUCGCCCCGGACACCGUCAAGGCGCACUGCUCCUACGCCGUCAACAGCUACUACCAGCAUAGCAGCCAGAACCCGCUCGCCCGCGUCUUCUCCAGCACCGCCGUGGUCUCCUCCACUGACCCAAGCACCAACGGCUGCAAGUACCCUGCGACCCCAAGGUAA
rnacentral:rRNA from 1 species